rnacentral:rRNA from 1 species
UAGGGAAUCUUCCACAAUGGACGCAAGUCUGAUGGAGCAACGCCGCGUGAGUGAAGAAGGCUUUCGGGUCGUAAAACUCUGUUAUUGAAGAAGAACGUGCGUGACAGUAACUGGUCAUGCAGUGACGGUAUUCAAUCAGAAAGUCACGGCUAACUACGUGCCAGCAGCCGCGGUAAUACGUAGGUGGCAAGCGUUGUCCGGAUUUAUUGGGCGUAAAGCGAGUGCAGGCGGUCUUUUAAGUCUGAUGUGAAAGCCUUCGGCUUAACCGAAGAAGGGCAUCGGAAACUGGGAGACUUGAGUGCAGAAGAGGAGAGUGGAACUCCAUGUGUAGCGGUGAAAUGCGUAGAUAUAUGGAAGAACACCAGUGGCGAAGGCGGCUCUCUGGUCUGUAACUGACGCUGAGGCUCGAAAGCGUGGGUAGCAAAC